rnacentral:lncRNA from 10 species
AUCACAGGCAUGAGUCACCGCACCUGGCCUAUAGCUUCCUUUUAAACAGCACAUCGUUGCUUUUGCAUCAGCCAGAAAAAAAAAAUACUUUUUAGAAGAAAACGUACAUUAUCAUGAGUCAUAGUAUUUGAGGAGUACAGCUCUGAAGCGGCCUGAGGUGAGGGUGCAGCUGGAGGCGCCGCCCCCUGGUGACUGGGUACUCAGGGUUGGGUUGAGCCAGGAGGGUGGUGGUUGCCUCAGGCUCUGUGAGGUGGGCAGGGAGCUGGGCAGGGAGCUGGGCGGGGUCCUGAGACAUUCAACCUCAGCUGGUUCCUGGGUUCCGGGCCCUGGAGCAGUGAGGGAAGCCAGUUAUAUGGGAGGCAGGUGAGUCAAAGGAGGGUCAGGCUGGGUGCCAGAGAGGAGGGCCACUGCUUCUGUGAGGGGGCCUCUGGGGCCUUCCGUCCAUCACCCAGUGGGCAUAUGGGGACACCACCGAGGCCCAGAGACCUCUUGCCCAGUCUCCCCACUCUCACCUCAGAGGUCCUUGCAGCUAGGGGCAGUGGCCUCUGCUGAGCUUUGCCCAGGGUGUAGCCAGUUGGCCUCAGGGCACUCCUGACUGGUGGCAUGAGCCUCCCAGGCUGCCAGGGUCAGGUCAGCUCCCACGCCUCCACCCUGGGCAGGGCCCAGGCCUGCAUUCAUGGGUGCAAGAGGAGAGAGAGGCCUGAGCCCUGGAUGGGUGUGGUUGUGUGUCCUUGGGGCUGAUGCAGGAUUUUUUUUUUUUUUUUGAGACGAUGUCUUGCUCUGUUGCCCAGGCUGCAGUGCAGUGGCACGAUCUCGUCUCACUGCAACCUCCAUCUCCUGGGUUCAAGCAAUUAUCCUGCCUCAGCCUCCCGAGCAGAUGGAGUUACAGGCGUGCACCACCACGCCUGGCUAAUUUUCGUAUUUUUAGUAGAGAGGGAGUUUCACCAUGUGGGCCAGGCUGGUCUCGAACUUCCGACCUCAUAUAAUCUGCCUGCCUUGGCCUCCCAAAGUGCCGGGAUUACAGGCGUGAGCCACCGCACCUGGCCUUUCUGCAGGAUUCUGAAUUGUGUAUGUGUGGAGAGUAAGGGGACUGUGUGCUCUAGAAGGGCUGUGGUGGGAGGUCUCUGGCCUGGUGCAGGUGGGUGUUGGUUGGGUCUGUGCACUGUGGGAGUGGGUGCCUGCAGGAAGCCAGUUUAUCCUUUUGCAGGCAGUGGACUUCUCUAAGGCUGCGGGCAUGUGUGUUGGCAUCUUGGAGUCCCAGGUGUUUUGGCGUGAGUAAUACUGUAUAGAUGUAAGUGUGUGUAGUGUUUGCAAUGUUGUAGUGUGGGUGCAUGUGUCUGUGUGUCCUGUUUGUUGAGAGGAUUCAUUGCAUGUGGUUCUGUUAGGAGUGAUAAUGGGGUGUUUUGAGACAUUUCCUCCUUGGUCUCUAUUUUUUGGUGUGUUGGUUAUGCAGAUUUGGUGUUUCGGUAGUGUGCGCGGAGGUCAGUGUGUUGGUUGUAUAUUAUGGUGUACUGUUGUGCGUUGUGCAUUUGGCAGGUUGUGUCUAUUGGUGUGUGGCUGUUGGGUUUGUCUGUUGUGUCAGUCGUACAUAUAAAUGCCACGUUGGGCGUGUGGGUGUGUGCAUUUGUAUAUUGCUCUGUGGGUGUGCGAAGCAGUGUGUUUGUGUAACCCUGCAGGUUUGGCCUAUGCUGAGUAACCUAAGAUGGGAGCUCCCUGAGCCUUGGCUCUGCCCUUGCCUUUGGCUGCUGGAGACCCUGGGCAGCAAUGGCCCUUUGUCCAGCCACAGGAAAACCCCACCCCCCUCCAUCGGCAGGGGACUUGGGAGGGGCCCAGACUGGUAGGCUCCAGCCUCCCGUCCAUUGUUCUGGGGCCUCUCUGGAAAACAGGAUGGGAGGUGAAAGGUGGACACAGGCCUGGACCCCCACACUCCCUGAAACAACCCAGGGGCACAGCACAGAAUCCUUAGGAGGGAGGGCCUGGGGACAGUCCCCAUUUUGUGGAUGAGAAAACUGAGGGGUUUCAUUCCUAUUAAAAGGGAGAGAGCCUGAAGCCCCACACCCUUUAUGUGCCCACCCACAGCCUCCUGCCGGGUUUGGGGGAUGGAAAAAUGACACCCCAGAAUGGAAACAAAACGGUCUAUUGUGGUUUCCAUUUCUGAAUGCUUACCAUGUGCUAAGUGCAGAAGUGUCAUAACUCUGCAGGUUAAGUUCAUAUUUUGUACCCAUUUUGCACAGGAGUACACUGAACCAUAAGGCAACAAUUUAUUCUUCAAAGGACACUACUCUAAACAUUACUGUAUUUCAAGUAGUACGCUGUGUGACCUUGAGCAAGUUGCUUACCUUCUCUGGGCCAGGCCCUAGUUCAGCUCUGGGACACAGCAGUGACCAAAGGAGCCGUGGUUCCUGCUCUCUUAGAGCCCAUAGCCUGGGCAGGGAGGAGGAGGCAAGGAAUGGCAAAUACACAAGAAAACAAAGAUCAUUUCUGAUGGUAAUGAAUUCAGUGAAUAAGAGCAGGAGAAUGUAAAAGAAAGUAGCCUAGGGGGAUCUGAGAAGGCCUCUGGGGAGGCGACAUUUGACCUGAGACUUGAAGAAUGAGGAGUCUGGCAAAGACCUGGGGCUGAUCAGUGUUCUAGGAACAAGUAACAGCAAGGGCAAGGGCCCUGAGGCAGGACAGAGCUAUUAAUAGUUUAAGGAGGGAGGCCUCUGGGCUGGUGAGAGAAAGGGAAGGGGCCCAGUUGGGUAGUGGGCAGGGGAGGAGUUUGGAUCUUAUUCUCCGUGAGAUGUGCUGGUUCUGGUGGUAGUGGGGGGGCCUGUAGUCUCCUGUUACAAGGGUUGGGGGUGUGGGGACAGCCAGAGCCAAAGGUCUCUCCCCCACAGCUCCGGCAGUCCCAGCCCAGAGGCGCCGGCCUGGCGGCUGGAAGAUUGCACUGUGGGCACAUCUGGGGAGCAGCUGCCGAGCCAGGGCCAGAGUGGGUCACGUGGCACAGGGCAGGACCGUCCUGGAGCCUACAAGGCCAAGACUCCUAGGAGGGGCAGUGGAGAACACUCUGGACGAGAACAGUGCGUCAACGAGGAGGAACUGUGCACUGUAGACGUCCAGGCACACGGCCCCCUGCAGCCCCACACAGCCCCUGCCUCAGGACAGAGUGCCUGGGUUCAAUGCCACCUCCCAGCUUUGUGAUCUGAAACAAGUCACUCAACCUCUCUGGGUCUCAUGGCCUCAGCUGUGAAGGGGACAUGAUAUUACUACCACAGUUCCACAGGCUGUUCUUUUUUUUUUUUUUUUUUUUUUUUUUUUUUUAAUUUUUUGAGACGCAGUCUCACUCUGUUGCCCAGGCUGGAAUGCAGUGGCACCAUCUCAGCUCACUGCAACCUCUGCCUCCCGGGUUCGAGCGAUUCUCCUGCCUCAGCCUCCCUAGUAGCUGUAGUAGCUGGGACUACAGGCUCCCGCCACCAGGCCUGGCUAAUUUUUUCAUAUUUUUAGUGGAGAUGGGGUUUCACCAUGUUGGCCAGGCUGGUCUCAAACUCUUGACCUCAGGUGAACCACCCACCUCAGCCUCCCAAAGUGCUCCCAGGCUGUUUAUUUCUAAUUCAACAAAUAUUCGUUGAGCACUUCCCACAUGCCAGGUGCUGCAUGAGGCUCUGCGUGACAGCAGGGAACAGGACCUCCGUGGUCCCUUCCCUUCUAAGCACACAAUUAAUGCUUUAGAACCAGGCCUGGCAUUGAGGAAACUCUUAGUAAAUGUAAGCCAUUUGCCUGGAGCUCUGGAGGCCAGAGGAGGCACCCUGGAAGGCAGAGAAGGAGGUGUGGUGACAGAAAAAUCCUAAGGAAAGUGCACUCCCUUUUAUCACCAGGUGCUGCAGUUGGCUCCUGGUAUGGCUCAUUUCACUCUCACAACCACCCUACGAAGAGGGAUGAGCAUUAGCUCCAAUUUAUGGAUGAGGAAACUGAGGCCCAGUUUGUCAAUGGCACAGCCAGGACUGGAGGCAGUGAAGGGCUGGUCCCUUUUUCUCUCUGGGGCUCAAUAUUCCCAUCUGUGAAAUGGGGCAUUACAAUAAUACAGCUGCACCAGCUCCAGGGAGCAGUUGUGAAAUCAGAUGUGCCAGGUAUGUGAAAAGGGCUUCCUGAGAGACUAUGACCAUGAAUGCUGGGUUGGGAAUAUGGGGGUUCAUUUAAGGAGCCCUCCGAACUUCCUGGCCACCAGAAGUGUCGGUUUUCCUAAGGUGACUCAGGAAAGGAGGACUGGGAAGAAAAUGCACACUCAAUUCACACUACCAACAAGGCCAGAAAAAUGCCCAUCUGACAACAAGAUAAGCAGGCAAUCUUUAUUUAAACUCCUUGUCAGGCCUUAAACAUGUAAAAGAUAAGGCCAGGUGUGGUGGCUCAUGCCUGUAAAUCCCAGCAGUUUGGGAGGCCAAAGAAGAAGGAUCACUUGAGUCCAGGAGUUCUAAACCAGCCUGGGGCAACAUAGUAAGACCCCUUCUCUACAAAAAAAUAAAAAAUUAGCCAGGUGUGGUGGUACAUGCCAGUAGUCCCAGAUACUUGGGAGGCUAAAUAGGAGGAUCGCUUGACCCCAGGAGGUCGAGGCUGUGGUGAGCCGUGAUUGCACCACUGUACUCAGCCUGGUGGACAGAGAAAGAGCCUGUCUCCAAGAAGAAAAAAUUGCAUAGAACUGAAAACACACACAAAAAUUAGUGCAUAUAAAUUGGGUGAAAACUGAAUUUCAUGCCAUGCGCGGUAGUUCAUGCCUGUAAUCCCAGCACCUUGGGAGGCCAAGGCGGGCAGAUCAUCUGCAGUCAAGAGUUCAAGACCAGCCUGGCCAACAUGGCAAAACCCCAUUUCUACUAAAAAUACAAAAAAUUAACCAGGCGUGGUGGCGUGUGCCUGUAAUCCUAGCUACUCGACAGGCAGGACAAUUGCUCGAAUCUGGGAGGCGGAGGUGGCAGUGAGCCGAGAUCGCACCACUGCACUCCAGCCUGGGCGACAGAGCACUCUGUCUCCAAAAAAAAAAAAAAAAAGGCCACGCGUAGUAGCUCACGCCUGUAAUCCGGCACUUUGGGAGGCCGAGGCGGAUGGAUCAUCUAAGGUCAGGAGUUCAAGACCCGCCUGACCAACAUGGUAAAACCCUGUCUCUACUAAAUACAAAAAAUUAGCCAGGCGUGGUGGCGCGUGCCAGUAAUCCCAGCUACUUGGGAGGCUGAGGCAGGAGAAUCGCUUGAACCCGGGAGGCAAAGGUUGCAGUGAGCCAAGAUUAAUGCCAUUGCACUCCAGCCUGGGCAACAAGAGCGAAACUCCAUCUCCAAAAAACAAAAAAGAAAACUGAAUUUCACCUGAAUUCUGGUUGUGAUAUUGUACUGUAGUUAUACAACAUACCAACUGUUGGAGUGUUAGAGAGGAUGUGGAAGAACUGGACCUCUCAAAUACUGUUGAUAGGAAUAUAAAAUGAUACAACCACCUUUGGAAAACAGUUUGGCUGGGUUUUUUUGUUUUGUUUGGAGGCAGGGUUUUACUCUGUUGCCCAGGGUGGAGUGUAGUGGCACGAUGAUCUUGGCUCAUUGUAGCCUCAACCUCCCAGGCUGAAGCAAUCCUCCUGCCUCAACCUCCCAGGCUGAAGCAAUCCUCCUGCCUCAACCUCCCAAGUAGCUGGGACUACAUGUGUGCACCACCACAUCUGGCUAAUUUUUGUACUUUUUGUAAGAGAUGGGGUUUCACCAUCUUGCCCAUGCUGGUCUUGAAUACCUGAGCUCAGGCAUUCUGCCUACCUCGGCCACACAAAGUGCUGGGAUUACAGGCAUGCACUGUGCCCAGUGAGUUUGGCAGUUCUUUUGUAAAGUUAAACAAAUACGGCCAGUUGUGGUGGCUCACGCCUGUAAUGCCAGUACUUUGGGAGGCCGAGGUGGGCAGAUCACUUGAGGUCAGGAGUUCAAGAUCAGCCUGGCCAACAUGGUGAAACUCCAUCUCUAUUGAAAAUACAAAACUUAGCCAGUCGUGAUGGUGGGCGCCUGUAAUCCCAGCUACUCCAGAGGCUGAGGUGGGAGAAUCGCUUGAACCCAGGAGGCGGAGGUUACAGUGAGCCAAGAUUGUGCCACUGCACUCCAGGCUGGACGACAGAGCAAGACUGAGUAUACAUUCACAUAAACACCUGUAUACAAGAGUUCAUGGCCAGGCACAGUGGCUCACCCCUGUAAUCCCAGCACCUUGGGAGGCUGAGGCAGGCGGAUCACGAGGUCAGGAGAUCGAGAUCGAGACCAUCCUGGCUAACACGGUGAAACCCCAUCUCUACUAAAAAUACAAAAAAAAAAAAAAAAUUAGCCGUGCGCGGUGGCAGGCGCUUGUAGUCCCAGCUACUCGGGAGGCUGAGGCAGGAGAAUGGCGUGAACCCAGGAGGCGGAGCUUGCAGUGAGCCGCAAUCUCGCCACUGCACUCCAGCCUGGACGACAGAGCGAGACUCUGUCUCAAAAAAAAAAAAAAGUUCAUAGCAGUUUUAUUUUACUAACCAAAAACUACGAACAAUCCAAAUGCCCCUCACCAAAUGUCUGGAUAAACAAAUGGUGGUAUAUCCAUAUAAUGGAACACUACUUAGCAAUAAGAAGGAAUGACCGCCGGCCCGGUGGCUCACGCCUGUAAUCCUAGCACUUUGGGAGGCAGAGGCGGGUGGAUCACCACCUGAGGUCAGGAGUUGGAGACCACCAGCCUGGCCAAUGUGGCAAAACCCCAUCUCUACGAAAAAUACAAAAAUUAGCCAGGUGUGGUGGCAGGCCCCUAUAAUCCCAGCUACUCAGGAGGCUGAUGCAGGAGAAUCGCUUGAACCUGGAAGGCAGAGGUUGCAGUGAGCCAAGAUCGCACCACUGUACUCCAGCCUGGGAACAGAGCGAGACUCCGUCUCAAAAAAUAAAAAGAAAAAAGGCCGGGCACAGUGGCUCACUCCUGUAAUCUCAGCACUUUGGGAGGCCGAGGCAGGUGGAUCACAAGGUCAGGAGUUCAAGACCAGCCUGGCCAAGAUGGUGAAACCCUGUCUCUACUAAAAAAAAAAAUACAAAAAUUAGCUGAGCAUGGUGGCGGGCACCUGUAAUCCCAGCUACUCGGGAGGCUGAGGCAGAGAAUUGCUUGAACCUGGGAGGCGGAGGUUGCAGUGAGCUGAGAUCAUGCCACUGCACUCCAGCCUGGGCGACUUGAGUGAGGCUCUGUCUCAAAAAACAAAAAAGAAAAAGAAAGAAGGCCAGGUGCAGUGGCUCAUGCCUGUAAUACCAGCACUUUGGGAGGCCGAGGUGGGCAGAUCACGAGGUCAGGAGAUCGAGACCAUCCUAGCUAACACGGUGAAACCCUGUCUCUACUAAAAAUACAAAAAAUUAGCCGGGCGUGGUGGCGCGUGCCUGUAGUCCCAGCUACUCGGGAGGCUGAGGCAGGAGAAUGGCGUGAACCCAGGAGGCAGAGCUUGCAGUGAGCUGAGAUCGUACCACUGCACUCCAGCCUGGGCGACAGAGCGAGACUGCAUCUCAAAAAAAAAAAAAAGAAGAAAAGAAAAACAUUAGCCAGGCGUGGUGGCGGGCACCUGUAGUCCCAGCUACUCAGGAGGCUGAGGCAGGAGAAUGUCAUGAACCCGGGAGGCGGAGGUUGCAGUGAGCCGAGACCGUGCCAUUGCACUCCAGCCUUGGGGACAGAGCGAGACUGUGUCUCAAAAAACAAAAAACAAAAACAAAAAAAGACCGGGCGCGGUGACUCACGCCUGCAAGUGUAGCAUUUUUGGGAAGUGGAAAAGGGCGGAUAACCUGAGGUCAGGAGUUCGAGACCAGCCUGGCUAAUGUGGCGAAAUCCCAUCUCUACUAAAAAUACAAAAAUUAGCCAGGUGUGGUGGUGGGCACCUGUAAUCCCAGCUACUCGCGAGGCUGAGGCAGGAGAAUUGCUUGAAUCUGGGAGGUAGAGGUUGCAGUGAGCGGAGAUCGUGCCAUUGCACUCUAGCCUGGGUGACAGAGCGAGAUUCCGUCUCAAAAAAAAAAAAAAGUGGAUAGAAGGAUAUGCAUAGGUUUUAUACAAAUACUAUGUCAUUUUAUUUAUUUUAUGUAUUUAUAUUUUGAGACAGGGUCUUGCUUUGUCACCCAGGCUGGAAUGCCGUGGUGGCAUCUUGGCUCACUGCAAUCUCCACUUCUUGGGUUCAUGAAAUUCUCUUGCCUUAGCCUCCCAAGUAGCUGGGAUUACAGGUGUGCACCACCACGCCCUGCUAAUUUUUCUAUUUUUAGUAGAGAUGAGGUUUCACCAUGUUGGCCAGAUUGAUCUCGAACUCCUGACCUCAGGUUAUCCACCUGGCUUGGCCUUACAAACUGCUGGGAUUACAGGCGUGAGCCACUGCGCCUGGCCCUGAAUUAAUUUCUACAGCAUAAUUUUCUCUCUUAUUUUUAUUUUUUUGAAUCAGAAUCUCACUCUGUCGCCCAGGCUGGAGUGCAGUGGCUUGGUCUCGGCUCUCUGCAACCUCCACCUCCUGGGUUCAAAUGAUUCUCCUGCCUCAGCCUCCCAGGUACUUGGGACUACAGGCGCCCACCACCACACCUGGCUAAUUUUUGUAUUUUUAGUAGAGACUGGGUUUUGCUAUGUUGGCCAAGCUGGUUUCUCUGGAAUUCAUUGCAGUAAACAGAAUUGCUGGAUCAAUUAAUUCACAGUUGAAGGCCAGGCACUGUGGCUCACGCCUGUAAUCCCAGUACUUUGGGAGUCUGAGGUGGAGAGAUCACAAGGUCAGGAGUUUGAGACCAGCCUGGCCAACAUAGUGAAACCCCGUCUCUACUAAAAAGACAAAAAAUUUAGCCUGGUGUGGUGGCGGGCACCUGUAAUCCCAGCUACUUGGGAGGCUGAGGCAGAAGAAUCGCUUGAACCCAGGAGGCGGAGGUUGCAGUGAACCAAGACUGUGCUAUUGCACUCCAGCCUGGGUGACAGUCUGAGACUCUAUCUCAAAAAAAAAUAAAUAAAUAGUUGGUGAUGGCCAGGCACGGUGGCUCAUGCCUGUAAUCCCAGCACUUUGGGAGGCCAAGGCGGGCGGAUCACCUGAGGUCAGGAGUUUGAGACCACCCUAGGCAACAUGGCAAAACCCCGUCUCCACUAAAAAUACAAAAAUUAGAUGGGCGUGGUGGUGGGUGCCUGUAAUCCCAGCCUGAGGCAGGAGAAUGACUUGAACUCAGGAGGUGGUGGUUGCAGUGAGCUGAGAUCGCGCCACUGCACUCCAGUCUGGGCAACAGAGCGAGACUCUGCCUCAAAAAUAAACAAAAAUAAACACUUGGUGAUGAAUUAAUACUCUAAUUUCCUCUGGUUGACUGUUGUUCUUCCAAUUAUUUGGCAAUUCUUUUGAGCAGCAAACUAUUCCCUCCCAUCAUUAAUUUAGGAUUGCUAAACAAGGCGUAGGGAGUUUAGAGAGUUUUGGUGUGUGUGGUAAGGGGAUGAGGAGUCUGGCUAAUUAAUUGAUGAUGUCUCUCUCUUUUGAAGCUGGUCUCACUGAUUGGUUUGGUUUUCCUGGUUUCCUGAUGUGGAGGCAGAAGGCUCCUUUACUUUUCCCUCAUCCCCCGAACUUCUGUGGGAAAACGGAACCUGCUGAUAACUCAGUGAAUUAAUUGCUGCGGGGUAGUGCGGUGGAGCGGAGCAGGGAGGGACCAUAAUAUCACCCUCCACUGGUGAGCACAGAUUUUUACCCCUGCUAAUGUUGUGUGGCUUUGGGUGACUAAUCUGAGCUUCGGUUUCCCCACCUGUGGCAUGUCCAGGACUCUGCAGUCAGACUGCCUGCUCUCAGCAGGAAGCGGUUGCAUUACAACACUGUACCCUCCUUAUAAUAACACAACUAUGGUUAUGACUUAGGCGUCGUGUGGAGCCUCAGUUUCCUUUGUAUAAAGAAACCAAAGAGCUCCUUUCUUUAGAGUUGUGAAAAAGACUACAGAAGUUGAUCAAGCCGGGUGACAGAGUAAGACCCUGUAUCAUUAUUAUUUUAUUUUGAAACAGAGUCCCACUCUGUCGCCCAGGCUGGAGUGCAGUGGCAUAAUCUCGGCUCACUACAACCUCCGCCUCCUGGGUUCCAGCGAGUCUCCUGCCUCAGCCUCCUGAGUAGCUGGGGUAUUACAGGUGCGCGCCACCACACCUGGCUAAUUUUUCAUUUUUAGUAGAGACGGGAUUUCACCAUGUUGGUCAGGCUGGUCUCGAACUCCUGACCUCGUGAUCUGCCCACCACGGCCUCCCAAAGUGCUGGGAUUACAGGCG